UCCCUAGUAGCUCAGUGGUAGAGCAAUCGGCUGUUAACCGAUUGGCCGUAGGUUCAAAUCCUACCUGGGGAG
rnacentral:tRNA from 1 species